GGUGAUUUUGCUGACAAUCCUGCUGCAAAGUUGCCUUCGAGAAUAAGCAAGAAAGCUUAUCAAAUUAAAUAUGAUAAAACUGACCUGAGGGAAGAGAGCCCAUCGCAGGUCAUGAGCAAACUGAUGACCCAUCAGAAGGCAGAUUCUAAAGUGGAUGAGAAAAGGGGGAAGAAGAAGAAGAAAAAGACUCAGAAAAAGAA